CCCAAUUCCACCGCCUUUGAUCAAAUACAUCCGCGCAAGUCUUAUUUCCACCGCUUAAUCGUAGCCGUCUGUCAUAUUCCUCAAACCUAUAAAUACAAGGCAAUUAUUCCAUCCCGGUUUGCUUUUGUUCAAGUUGUACUUUUUUCUGUGAUUCGGUGUUCUUUCGAUGAUAUCUUGAGAUAUAAGCUGUGUUUGAUCAAGAUACCGGGUAAUUUAUUGUAUGAUUAACAUCUGGGUUUAUUGUAUGAUUUAACAUAUGGGUAAUUAUUGGUAUGGUGAAGAUGAUGAUGUAUAAUUAUUGUGGAUCAUGAUAAUGGAUGAUUAUUAUUGUUUGAUCAAAGAUAUGGGUGAUUAUUCCAUUCCUGUUCGUUUUGGUUUUGGUUCUCUGUACGCAGUGUUUGAUUGUCGAUAUGGGUAGUUGUUGUUGAUCAAGACACUGGGUAUAUAUAGUGCAUUGCAAUCCUUUUGAUUCUCGUUUCUUGUGUAUUAUAUAGUGCAUUGCAAUUCUUUUGAUUGAUUCGGAAUACGAGUAGACAACAGAUUUGUGAGCAAGAGUAUAUUUCACAGAUACAGCCAUUUUUUGUGGGGUACUUCCAUAUGUGUCUAUUCUUCCUUUCAAUCUACUAUAAAGGUUUUAACUUGGCCCUUAAUAUUGAAGAUAAUAAAGGUUUUACAUUGGCCCUCAAUAUUGAAGAUAAUAAUUACAUGAUCAAGGGCUGUACCCUCUCGCAUAAAGUAUUUAGCUGUUAUCGUCAACCUUUGUGGCUUUUUGCUUAGAACUUGGAAAUUUAGCUCCCCAGGCCUAUUUAGAUCUUCUGUUGCAGACUUAUGUGUCACAAGCUAUCAUUUUGGAUUUGAUAUCUUGAGUUCCAUCUUGAAUCAUAAUUUUUUAUGCUAAUCAUGUGUCUCUACGCAUCAACUUCUUUUACGUUCUUAGUUGGUUUGGCCUUCAAUUAAUACAUGGAUGGGGCAUCUAAGUGCAAGUGGUUCUACAGGAGUAAGUGUCUUGCUUCGCUGAUUGGUCGGGAAGAUGCAGUAGUUCCUAGGCCUUUGACUAUGUGUCUUGGAUUUUUCAGUCUCUCAAAGCUUUGGAAGUUCUCAACUAUGAUAUUUCUUUUCAGUAGUGUGUAUUGUGUGUUCUGCUGCCAGUUUUAGUUCUUUGGAGUAAGUGUCUUGCUUCGCUGAUCGGUCGGGAAAGAUGCCGUAGUUCCCAGGCCUUUUGACUAUGUGUCUUGGAUUUUUCAGUCUCUCAAAGCUUUAUCCAAAACUGGUAUGAUAUGGAAGUUCUCAACUAUGAUAUUUCUUUUCACAAGUGUGUAUUGUGUGUUCUGCUGCCAGUUUUAGUUCUUAGUUGUGUUCUUUGAUGAUCCUGCUGUCUUUUAAGGUGUUACAGGUACCGGAAAAUGUCAGAAGUCAAAAUGUGCUUCUCUGUUUUUUCUGUCCUAACUACUUAUCUUCUCUGCCGUUUUUCCUUUGUUAUUACGCCAGUUUGAUUUUGUAUUGCUGAAUGAAUGUGUAGACCACCACAUGGUGAUAGUAAUAGAGGAUUAGUUUUGUAUUGGAAAUCCUUUUGAUUGAUUUCCAAUGUUAUUGGAAAUUAGAACCUGGUUCCAUUAUAGAUGCAAUUUCAUGUUUGCUUCCAGGUUCUGGGAAGUAUGAGGUUUUUGUUGUGAGGAUUCAUGUGUUGGUGUACAUUGUUCUGUCUAACUAUUUAGUUCUAUAAAACCUAGCAAUUUCCUUUUUGUUGAAUCAGAAUACUGGAAUUCAGAAUACUGGAAUUUGGCUCCAUGGCCUACUUGGAUCUGCUAUUCUAGACCUAUAUGUCACAACCAUACAAUGGAGCUAUCAGUUUGGAUUUGAUAUCUUGAUUUCCAUUUUUAAUGCUAAUGCUAAUUCUAAUCAUGUGUCUCCUCGCAUCAAUUUCUUUUACCUUCUUAUUUGGUUUGGUCUGAUGUCAUUCUUAGUUAUCAUUCUUAGUUAUCAAAAAUACGUUCGGAUUUUAUAUUUUGACUUCCAUUUUAAAUGCUAAUGCUAAUGCUAAUGCUAGUCAUGUGUCUCCUCACAUCAACUUCUUUUAGCUUCUUAUAUGGUUUGGUCAUCAGUGGAUGUCAUUCUUAGCUGUCAAGAAUACAUGGAUGGGCAUCUAGGUGCAAGUGGUUCUACAGGAAAAAGUGUCUUCCCCCGGUGUUUGUGGUUGGGGAAGAUGCAUCAGUUCCCAAGUCUUUGACUAUAUAGGUAGUGGAUUUUCAGUUUCUCAAAGCUUUGUCAAAACAGGUGCGUUAUAGAAGUGCGUUAUAGAAGUUCUCAACUAUGAUAAUUCUUUCACCGGUGUGUUCUGCUGCCAGUAAGAUGCUUGUGUUCUUUGAUGAUCCUGAUGUCUUUUAUGGUGUUAUGGGCAUGCAUUUUCAUGUUUGCUUCCAGGUUCUGAGAAGUAUGAGGUUUUUGUUGUGAGGAUUCAUGUUGGUGUACAUUGUUCUGUCUUAACUAUUUACUACUAUAAAACCUAGCAAUUUCCUUUUAUUGAAUCAGAAUACUGGAAUUUGGCUCCAGGGCCUACUUGGACCUGCUAUUCUAGACUAUGUCACCGCCAUACAAUGGAGCUAUCUGUUUGGAUUUGAUAUCUUGACUUCCAUUUUUAAUGCUAAUGCUAAUCAUGUGUCUCCUCGCAUCAACUUCUUUUACCUUUUUAUUUGGUUAGGUCAUCAGUGGAUGUCAUUAUUAGUUAUCAAGAAUACUAUUGGAUUUUAUAUCUUGACUUCAAUUUUUAAUGCUAUUGCUAAUGCUAAUCAUGUGUCUCCUCGCAUCAACUUCUUUUUAGCUUCUUAUUUGGUUUGGUCAUCAGUGGAUGUCAUUGUUAGCUGACGAGAAUACAUGGAUGGGCAUCUAGGUGCAAGUGGUUCUACAGGAAGAAGUGUCUUGCCCCAGUGUUUGUGGUUGGGGAAGAUGCAUCAGUUCCCAGGUCUUUUGACUAUAUAGAUAGUGGAUUUUCAGUUUCUCAAAGCUUUGUCAAAACAGGUGUGUAAUAGAAGUGCGUUAUAGAAGUUCUCAACUAUGAUAAUUCUUUCACAAGUGUGUUCUGCUGCCAGUCAGAUGCUCGUGUUCUUUGAUGAUCCGGAUGUCUUUUAUGGUGUUAUGGGCAUCAGAUAAAGUCAAAAGUCAAUUCUGGAUCUAGCUACUUGAUCUUCUCUGCUGUUUUCCCAUGGUUAUCAUGCCAACUUUGUUUUGUUUAGUGGUGAAUAAAUGUGUGGACCACACGGUGAUAGUAAUAGAGGAUUAGUUUUGGGAACUUCAAUGGCUUGUAUCCGGUAUUCAUUCCUGUGAACCUUGUUUCUUGGUCCUUUUGGUGCUUGCAACUCCAAGAUGGAUAUUGCUAGGCUUCGACCAAAAUUGGGGUUUUCGAUCUUGUCUCUUGCAUAUCUAGUGAUUUCUUAGGUGAUAUGGAUUUUGUCAGCUUUGUACUUAACUGGUCCCUUCUUCUUGUUCUUGUAGUUGGGUCUGACAAAGCAAUGAAUUAUUCUUUUGAUGGAGGGACAUUGUUUGGCCACUGUGUUGAGGUUUCUUUUGUUCAUGUUUUUACGAGUACUGAGAUUCUCAUUUCUGUUUUCUUCACCAAUCAGAGUACUUCCUCUCUUUAUCAAAAAUUACUGCUGUAUGGAAGUUCCCAACUAAAAUAAGUUUUCUUGCAUUCUUCUGUGUUGCUUUCUGCAGCCCUUUUUAGUUUUUGUCCAGAUGCUUAUGUUCUUAGAUGAUCCAAUUGAUGAGAUUCCUGGUGCUUGAUGUGUAAUUUUGUAUAUGGUCUUAUUGAGACUUGGUAAAUAGUCAAAACUCAAUCCUGGAUCUCUUGACAGCCCCGUUAAGUGGGUUGCCUCUUACUCCUCACUUUUGGUAUUCUCUCUGCUUCCUGUUUCUUGCUGCAUCAUCACCCCAGCUUGUGUUUGUUGGAUUGAUGACAGUUGAGAGGAUUAGAUUUGAAUUUUUUUGAAGAUUGAUGAUGUGAUCAGGCUUUGACAUUUGGUAUUUGUUCCUGUGCAUCCUGUUACUUCGCAAUUUUUGUGCUUGCACUGCAAUCUGAAUAUUGUCAGGCUUUGAUAGAGGGGUGCUUUGAGAAGACGAGUGUUGCAAUCUGUCUCUGCCAUUUUGUUGCGGGUUUCGUCAGCUUUGCACGCAACUCUCUCCUAAAUUCCUUUGCUUGCAGCUAUUUGGUCUUACAAAGCAGCGAAUUCUUCAAUUCAGUUUUUCUUCCCUAAUGACUCUUUUGUCUUUGUCAAAACUAUUGUUGUACUCAAAUUUGGAUCUUUUGAAAGCUCAUGAAUGGUCCUCUCUUUUGGUGUUCUCGGUGCUCAUCUUCUCUGCUUUUUUCUCCUUGUAUUCCGAUAGCUUGAUUUUGUUUGUUGGAUGGAUGUAUGGUGAAAGUUAUACUUAGAAGAUUGGUGUCCAGCGUGCAUUCUUGUGCACCCUGUUUCUUGUGGCCAUGUUGGUGCUUGCACUACUAUCUGGAGAUUAUCAGGCUUUGAAAGAAGGCAGUUUUUAAUCUUGUCGGGGGUGGUAUGGGUGUCACCAGUUUUGCACUUAGACUGCUCCAUUGUUUUUGUGUUUGCAGCCGCUGGGUCUUACAGACCCAUAGAUUCUUCUUUACAUGGAGUGGCCUGGUCUGUCAAUUUGUGUUUGAGGUUUUCUGGUUGAUGCUUCUAAUGAUUAUUGAGAUCUUCAAUUCAGUUUUCUUGCCUAAUCAGAAUGGUUCCCUUCUCUGUUGUCAAACUGCUUCACUGGUGUUUAUUUUGUUGCCAUAUUUGUUUUUUAACAAUCCAGAUGCUUAUGUUCUUUGGUGAUCCAACUGAUACUCUGAUGAGAUCUCCAUGGCUAUCGACAAUUCAUGAUAAUUGUAUUCAAACUCAAUCAUGGAUCUUUUGAUGGCCUAGUAACACUUAUCGUGUUCUCGCUACUCACUUCCUCUGAUUUCGUUUAGCCUACCAGUUGAUUUAGUUUGGCUGGAUGAAUGUUCGUAGGCCACAUGGUGGUAGUAAGAGGAUAAUAUUUGGAAAUUUUGUAGUUUGGUUUCGGUGUGCAUUCCUGAGGACCAUGCUUGUUGCCAUUUUGGUGCUUACACUGCAAUUUGGAUAUUGGAUAUCAUCAGGCAUCAAGAAAAGGGUGCUUUGCAAUCUUACCUUGUUUGGCAUCUCGAGUGAUCUGUGUGGUAUGGGUUCCCAUCACCUGUGAUGUUCUUUUUGUGCAUGUAACUGUCCGGGUCUUCCAGAGCAUGAACUUCAAUGCAGUUCCUUCCUAAUCAGCGGGUCCCUUAUCUCUUUCAAAACUAAUGGAAGUGCUCAACAUGGAUAUUUUUUUAGUGUAUGUUGUACUCUGAAGCCAUAAAGUUUUUAAUCUAGAUGAUUAUUUUCUUGGAUGACCCAUAUGACAUGAUCGCUGAUUGUUGUGGACAUUGGACAUUGUUGUGGACACCUGAGAAGUAUCCAAACUCAAUUUUAGAUUUCUUAUGGACCUAAGAUCUCCUCCACUGUGGUGUUCUAGCUAACUAGAAUCUCUGCUUCUAUUUUCUUAUGUUUAUCAUGCCACUUGAUUUUGUUUGUUUGGAUGCAUGUUUGUAGACCAGAUGGUGACCCGUGAAGGGGUCAGAUUUGGUAAUUUUGAAGUUUGGUUUCAGUGUGUCCUUCCCUUGUGCACCCUGUUUCUUUGCCAUAUUGGUGCUUGCACUGCAAUGUGGAUAUCCCCAAGAACUGGCAAGGGAGUUAUGCAGUUUUAUCUGGCAUCUCUAGUAAUCUCACUUAUGUGGAAUGGGUUUCACAGCUCACAGCCUCACACUUUAACUGUUCCCUUCUUUUGGUGCCCCAGCUGUUGUUGGGUCUUCCCAUAUCCAUGAAGUCUUCCUUUCAUGGAGCAGCCUUGUUUGUCUUUGUGUUGAAGUUUCCAUUGUUCAGGCUUUGUAUUAAUAUCUAGCUCUUCAAUUCAGUUUUCUUCCCUGGUCAUAGAGAUUCCCUUAUCUCAUUGUCAGAAGUGCUGUUAAGAAUAUGUAGCUCUUCGAUUCAGUUUUCUUCCCUGGUCAUAGAGAUACCCUCAUCUCAUUGUCAGAAGUGCUGUUAAGCAGAUGUUUUCAACUAUAAUCUCUUUCCAGAAGUGCAUUUUCAGCUUUUAGUCCAGAUGCUUUUGUUUUGUCAGAUCCAGGUCCCUUAUGGGUGCGGACAUCUUGUAUGUACUCACUCAAUUCUGGAUCUUUUCAUAGCCUCGUGAAGUGCUCAUCUACAUUUGUGUUCUUUCUGCGUAUUUUCUCUGCUUCCAUUUUCUUUUUGCUCAUCACCAGUUUGAGUUUUGUCUGUUGGAAGGAAGGUGGUGUAUAUACCACAUAAACAGUAUUGGAGGAUUAGACUUGGAAAUUUAAAAGGUCAGUGUUCAGUAAGCUGGUAGUUUAGGUUCUUGCACUGACAUCUGGAUAUCGUUAGGGCUUUCGAGAAAAAGGGGUUUGUAAAUAUUGUCGACGUCAUUUCUAGUGAUUCCCAAGUGGUUUGGGUUUUGCCAGCUUUGCACUUAAACUUUUCCUUCUUUUCGUGCUUGCAGUUGUGGUCUCUCUAAGUUUCUUCUUUUCGUGGAGGAGCCUUUGUUUGUUAAUUUUUGUUGAGGUUUCAUUUGGUUCAAGCUCCUGUGUGUGUCAAAUUUCUGAUUUUCAGUUUGGUUAUCUCGACUAAUCAGUAUGAUCUUUUCUCACCACUCUCUCCUUGAAGUGGUGCUCUUCUAGUUGUUAGCUGAAAAUUGUAAAUGUCAGUGGUGGUUACAGUACAUGGUCAUGACCCGUACUACUGAUGCAUAUCUACACUAACGAAAAAAAGCAAAAAAGAUUAGGACACUGGAUAAUUGAACUUUUCAUGCACGAUUAUAUAUACAACAAAUCUUUUAAGAAGUCAACAGAUGAAUUAGAGGAUAGAGUAGCAUCACAACGGCCUGCAUGUUUAUUAGAUGAAAAGGAAUAAUAGAAAUUAUUGAUCAUGUUAGAUGAAAAAGAUUAUUUAAGCCCUGGUUGAGAUAUGGAAGAGGUAAUUAAUAAUUAGUACCCGGUAAGAGCAGCAUGGAGAUGAGUAAGGAAAGCCCAGAAUUUGCUCAUUAUUACUUAAAUAACUAUGGUCAUAGAUCUAGCCAAUUGAAAUUAGAGAACAAAAAAAAUUGAUUUUGGAUUUCAAUAGUGACAACAUAUUUAUAGUUGCAAAAAUGGUAAAAGUUGGCAUCUGAUUCUUCCCUUUUCAUGUGGUGUUCUAGGUUUUUUCCAUCGACCAACUAUAGCUUUACAUACGGACACCAUCUAACGACUCUCUCAUUCAAUUUGUGGUUCAUUUAUUGGGUGAACUUAUCUGCAGCUAUAAUCACUACGAUUUUCAGACUAACUGUUGUUAGGUAAAUGAAAUCUCUUUUUCUUUUUGGAGAUCUAUCCCGUACCUUUAUUUUUGGAAACAUGUGUACAUUAUGUUCAGACAUCCAAUCAUUUGAGGAGUUGCUUCAGGCAGUUAGCUAUUAUGUAAAACUUAAAUAUAAAGAGAGAGCUCUUGCACUCUUUUUUUAUCCAUAAAACAUUGCCAUUUUGAACAGUCUUUGCACCAAAGAAGUAGGAAUUCACUCAAUCUGGAACAUAUCAAGUAUAAAACUUGGCUCAUAUGUUGUGUAACAGGUUAUGUACACUCUUUAUGCUAAUACGCAAUGGUACCUAUUUUUUUUUUGUGUAAAAGAUCUUCUCAUGAGAUACCCUUCUAAAUUCAUUACAUAUCAGAUCAAUAUGCAAGUUGGGGAAGUUUUUCGAUGAAUCUUGUUCUUGUAAAUACUCUUCCGAGUUAAGCUUUGUACUAAUUUUCAUAAUAUGGUUGAAGUUGCUAUUUUGAUCAUCAUGCAAGUUUGGAAGUUUUCCAUGAAUCUUGUUCUUCUAAUAGUUAAGCUUUGUACUGAUUUCUUAACACGGUUGAAAUUGCCAUUGAUUAUAGGCAAGUUUUGUUCUGUCAUUCUAUGUGUUCUUGCUAUAUCGUUGAUAUAUAUUUAGUCAAUGUCACUUCACACAUGGUAUACUUCGUAAAAUGUCGCUAAACAGAUAAAUUGUUCAGGCAAUUGUCACUUCACAGAUCCUUCACUGAUGGUUUCGUUACUUUGUUCUUGUCAUGUUCUACUACCAGCUAUAAACUUGGAAAACGAUAUUUUGUUAAGAGGGAUCUGACCAUGACUUCAGGCAUUCUUAGGAGUUCUCUUGGAAUUCUCCGUGUAAUCAAGUUUCGGUUAGACCUAUCUACUCUCUCCCCCUUCCCCUAGUGGGGGUAGAGCUGUCGAUUUUUGAUGACAUGAUAUUACAUGUUUUCACAAAGCUGCAACUGCCUUUGGUGGUUUGGAGUUGAUAUCUCUACUUAGUCUUGUAGUCAACUGUUCCAUCCUGCUGCCCUCUAUAAACAUCCCUGCUUGGUUAUAAUGGGAGGGCUGGUAACUCGAGUUCUUUUCUCCUGCCAAUUGUCUUAUCUGCUCUUUGGUUGUUUUUUUUUUAGGUUUCUUCCAUAAUGCAACUAGUCUUGUGUGUUCAUUGUCCUGAUGACCGGAGACGUUGAUGAUUUUCGGGUAUAGAAUGAGGAGGGAGAUCUGUCAAUUGCAGAAAAGAACGUCUGGCAGAAUUCUUGGCCUCCUGUGCUGGAAGUGAGAUCCGAAGGUUUAUGGAGAAUGAGUGUUCUAUUCAGGCGGCUGUGUCGGUGAUUGAUUUUUAACUGUCGAGUAAGCACUGAAUGUUCUCAAAAUUAUUGUCUCCUCUCACAUGUAUGGAAUGCAGUUGCUAAAUAUAGGUGGUGUAUAGGUAAUAUUCUAAUGAAUGUAGGUGAGAAGUAGAUUUCUGUUUUGGGUUGUUAUGAGAUGAGUUGGGUGUGUCAUUCUUUGGCUUAUCUCACAAGCUUAUUUGGUCUCUUUUGAGUUGGGAUUGGUAUUUGUGGAAUUAGUAUCUUCGAUGCGAUAAAGCUUUGAGUUCAGGGAAAACAAGGAGAUACUUUUCCUCAAAACAUGAACUAAUGGAAGUUUUAACUCUGGAAGAAGCACUUGAUGAAACAUCCAGGAAUUGGGCAGAUGCGAGAACAGGGAAGGACCAAAAUUCCAUGUGUGUAGUGAUGGAACUGGUGCAAAAAGUUGAUUUCAGGGUACAUAUUGUUCUCUCUUUGUGAAGAUACUUUGUAGCCCCAGAACUGGAGAAUCUGCUUUCUGGAUAUGACAUAUUAUUUUUAGUUGUUGAAGGUGCUAUGAAAUUGUUGAGUUUACGAAUGCAACUUCUUCAUGGUACGAGAUGUAUGUUGAGUUGUAAGAUAGAAUUGAUUUUCAUGUUCUGGUCCAGCGUUUCUUCCAUUGCACAACUACCCCUUGGCCGAUCUCAUAAAGAGGCUAGGACCAGUUGGAGCUAUGACAUUGUUAUUUUUUGUCUGCUAUGCAUCUAUGAAGGAAUAUCUGGUCAUUUGAAGUCAUGUUUUGCACUAGCCAGGGCCCAAUAGUUGUCUUGACAUUCUUACAUUUUAGCUCUUAUGCAUCUCCCAAGGAGUAUCUUGUCAUUUGAAGUCAUGUUUUGCUGGUCAGGGGCCAAAAGUUGUCUAUCACGUGACAUCAUAUGUGGGGGAAUUUCAUUAUUUGUCUAGCACAACAGUCUCCAAAUAAAGUUGUGAGAAUGUUCCAUAGUAUCCAACAUAAACUUUUCUUCAACGAGGGUUGCAACAAUGUACGAGCACUAUGUGUCUGUUUGGUUCUCUAAGUUUUUAGUGUUGAGAAUUUUACAAGAUAAUGCAAUACAGUACUUUUCUUGCACCACGACUAAGAAUUUCAUUUUGACGUGGAAUUUUCUCCUUCACUUCUUACCUAGAAGGGCAGUGCCAAGUCUUCUUUAACUGCCCAGUCUACUUGUACAACAACAAAAACAUACGCAGUGCAAUUCCAUAAGUGAUCGCAUAAGUGGGGUCUGGGAGGGUAGGCCGUAAGUAGACCUAUUGCCGUCACUUCACAGUCUUCCUCCUGGUCUUCAUUUCCUUUUUGUAUAAUCCAUCUUAUUCCAAAGUUGUUGCUCGACUCUGUUCUUUGUGUUUAAGUUGAAUGCAUUUUAUUGAAGUUUAUUUUGUUAGUGCUAUAUGAUUUUGCAUUGUUUCGGCACCAAUAGUAGUUCUCCUUGUGGUUUUUUUUGUAGUAGUGUUGGUUUAUUUGUUGCUACAUUGUGUGUUUAGGUGACCCUUGUAACUCCGCCUGUUAAAUCAACCGGUCCCAAGCCCGGACCAAGGAGGAGGGAAGGUGCUUUAGUUUGCAAUUAAUUGUCUGUUUUUUUUUAAUUAGAAGAAAUGUUUCUGGAGUGCCUAUGAUGAUCGUUUCUCCUUACUUGUCUUGAGCAAUUCAAAUGGAGCAUGUGCUCCUUUAGCCAGUGCAAUUCUCUUCGUCUUAUGACAUCUCUAAUUACAAUUAUCAUUUAUCAGUAAUGUACAUAGUUGUGAGAUGAAAUGUCAAGAGAUGCCUUAGGGGAUUGUCAACCUGAAUGGUCAGGUGUUCUCACUUAUCAUGCAAUUGGUAAAAUUUAAAAUUGUGGCAGCUUAGUUUCUUGCUUCAGUGAGAAACUAAAUGCAUUGCAGCUUUGCAAUUUAUUUAUGAUCCACCUUAACAUUGGAAUUAGUGUUUCCCUCAUUGGUGUCUAUAGAUGGUUUCCAACAAGGUACUCAACUAGGGAUUCGUGUUAAGCCUGACAGCGUAUGCAUGUGCCUAUUCAGGGAUCAUGUGUGUGUCAUGCAACACAUGGAUGUGUCUGUUCAAGAAUCAUCACUGUGCUUUUCUCUCUUGAUUGAUCACCCAUUGCAAGUUUCGACGUGUCUCUUCAAGAAUUAUCACUGUUAAAGCUUUUCUCUAUUGAUUGAUCACCCAUUGCAAGCUGAUACUCUUUUUAACUGUUUGCUUUUUGUUUGUGAGGUCGUUCGUGGAUGCUGCAGUCCGUUCAUCUAAGUUCCUGUGUCGAACAAUGUUACAGCUGUGAGAUGCAACACUGGAUGCAGGAUCUCCCUUAUACCAUGUGACUUACUGUGGGAGUGCAACAGGUUCCUCAGGAAGGUUUCUGCUCUUUGGUUGUGGCUGUUGGAAAUUUGGGCGGCGGGGUCAAGGAUGUUUUUCUUGAGGUUUCUGCCAUAGUGCAACCAGUCUUGUGUGUUCAUUUUCCUGAUGACCGGAGACGAUGAUGAUUUUUGGUCAUUUACAGAAUUGGAUAUAUCUGGAUUUGUUGGUGCAGUUGCAUCCGUAAGUUCUCUGAUUUUGCUAUAUAGGUAUGGAAUGAGCAGAUCUGUUUAUAGAAAAGAAUGUCUCGCAGGAUGCUUGGCCUCCUGUGCCGGACGUGAGAUCCGAAGGGUGAGCUUAUGAUGCAGGGAAUUUCUUUCUAGGUUUGCAGAUAUAUUUUGAAGUUUGACUUUGCUGUAAAUUCUCACUUUUGUUGGUUUCUUGAGGCAUUCAAGGACUUCCUGUUUAGGUUAUGCCAAUUUCUUUCUGGUUCUACACGAGGUAAUGAUGGUAAGGGUAUAGACCAUGCAGUUUCUGUUGUUGGAUGUCAAUAGUCUUUGUAACGAAGUAAACCUCAUAUGUGAUACCUGCAGCAGAUUGUCUUUUCUUGCAUCUUCUCCUCUGGAAUACUAUUCAGUAGAAGUUUCUUAGUCUUCCCUUGUAGAUGUUGCUCUCUGUAUUUCAUGUUGCUAGGCGAUUAGCACAUUCAACAUGAAGAGGUCUUCAUCCCAAGUCGCCUGGUUUUCUUUAUCUACCCAGAAGGUCUAAAUGGAGUACGUGUGCUAGAGUAGUGGAAUUUUUGUGUGUUAUCUACCAUGAGCAAGUAUUAGUUGCAUAGUGAUAGGGUGUUAUCCACACAAUUAGUUAGGUGGGUUCAUGCACCAAACAUGAGAAGGAACAAGAUUAAGGAGUUUCUAGGUAGCAGUCUGUUAUAGUCAUUUACAGUGGUUUUGAUAAUGUCCGACUCCUGUUUUAGUAUUUGUUGUAUUUGCUGAUUUGGAUCACUUACCUGUAAAAUUUGGAUCACUUACCUGUAAAACAACACUACAGAUGUGAGUGUACUGUUUUUGAAGUUGAGGAAGGUAUUAUCUAGAAGUAGCUAGUAUGCUUUGGAUUCAGUUUGUCGUGGUUUUUCUUUUCUAAAUAUGGCCACUGAAUGGGGUAUUUCUCUUUUCUCUCAAGUUCUUGUAGCUACUUUGAUAUCGCUAGGAUUAAAGGACAUACUUUUUUAGGUUAAAAUACACAAAUUCAGUUCCUUCCAGAAGAGGUGAGAAGUUGGGAGGAUGGUGAUCCGUUGUUGUGGAGCAUGUUAACAGAAAAAGGUUGUGGUAUGAUGUGGACUUUGAAGCAUCUUAAACAGGACAAGGUCCUGGUAUGAUCACUUGGAUUCCUGUUUAUACAUUGACCUGUUUUUUUGCAUGUUUUGAAGUAUCUGAAUAUCUGUUUUGGAUCAACAUUACAAGGGCUUCUGGUUAUUUUGUGCGGGUGUGUGUUCAAUUACACUUGAGUGUUCUGGUCACUCGGUACUAAUCUAAUGUGCUUUCUCCUAUAACGUGUAGUAUUUAUCAAUCUAUAUGCUCGUUGCAGUUUAUGGAGGAUGAGUGUUCUAUCCAGGCGGCAGUGUCGGUGAUUGAGUUUAACUAUCGAGUAAGAACUGAAUGUUCUCAAAAUUAUUGUCUCCUGUCACAUGUAUGGAAUGCAGUUACUGAAUGUAGGUGGUGUAUAUGUAUUAUUCUAAUGAGUAUAGGUGAGAAGUAGCUUCUGUUUUGGGUUUUAUGAUGAGUUGGGUGUCUCAUUGUUUGGCUUAUUUCACAAGCUUAUUUGGUCUCUUUUGAUUUGGGAUUGGUAUCUGUCGGUUAGUAUCUUGGAUGUGAUAAAGCUCUGAGUUCAGGGGAAACAAGUUGAUAUUUUUUCUCAAAACAUGGACUAUGGAAGUUUAACUCUGGAAGAAGCAUUUGAUGAAACAUCCCGGAAUUUGGCAGAUGCGAGAACAGGGAAGGACCAAGAUUCCAUGUGUAGUGUUGGAAUUGGUGCAAAAAGUUGAUUUCAGGGUACAUAUUGUUGUCUCUUUGUGAAGAUACUUUGUAGUCCCAGAACUGGAGAAUCUGCUUUCUAGAUAUUACAUAUACAUUUUUAGUGGUGCUAUGAAAUUGUGGAGUUCAUAAAUGCAACUUCUUCAUGGUAUGAGAUGUAUGUUGAGUUGUAAGAUAGAAUUGAUUUUCACGUUCUGGUCCAGCGGUUCUUCCAUUGCACAAUUACCCCUUGGGCAAUCUCAUAACAAGAUUAGGACCAGUUGGGAGCCAUGACAUUUAUUUUUCAUCUGCUAUGCAUCUAUGAAGUAAUAUCUUGUCAUUUGAAGUCAUGUUUUGCACUAGCCAUGGCUCAAAAGUUGUCUUGACAUUUUUACUUUUUAGCUGCUAUGUAUCUUCCAAGUAGUAUCUUUUCAUUUGAAGGUCAUGUUUUGCUAGUCACAUCAAAACAUAUGUGGGAGAAUUUCAUUAUUUGUUUAGCACAACAAUCUCCAAAUUAAGUUAUGAGAAUGUUCCAUAGUAUUCUUACAGAGACUUUUCUUCAACGAGGUUUGCAACAACGUACCAGCACUAUGAGUCUGUUCGGUUCUCCAAUUUUAAGUUGAGAAUUUUGGAAGAUAAUGGAAUACAGUACUUUUCUAGCACACGACUAAGAAUUUCGGUUUUGACGUGUAAUUUUCUUCUUCACUUAUUUCCUAGAAGGGCAGUGCCAAGUCCACCACUUUAACUGCCCAGCCCAGUCUACUUGUACAACAACAACAAUAAGGACAUACUCAGUGCAAUUCCAUAAGUGAUCGCAUAAGUGGGGUCUGGGAGGGUAGGAAGUAAGUAGACCUUACCUCUUAACUUUGAGGGGCAGAAAGACUUUUCUGACAGACCUUGGAGGUCACUUCACAGUUUGUUCCUCCCGGUUUUCAUUUCCUUUUUGUAUAAUCCAUCUUAUUUCAAAGUUGUUCCCCGACUCUGUUCUUUGUGUUUAAUGAAAUUUUAUUGAAGUUUACUUUGUUAGUUCUAUUUGGUCUCAUACUGUUUCGGCACCAAUAGUAAUUCUCCAUGCGGUUUCAUUUGUAGUAGUUCUUAGAAUAGUAAUAGGUAUAUACAAUCCUACUUAAAAUAGGAAUAUGAAUAGUACUAGUAAUAGGAAUAGUGUCCUACUUUGAGAAGGAUUGUAUUGUAGUGUUCUAGUUAGAAAAGAUGUCUAUUGUAGUGUCUAUAAAUAGGGUCUCUCUGUAAUACUGUAGAAACAACAAUUCAAUAAUAUUCUUUCUCAAUAUUUCUCACAGUAGUGAUGGUUUAUUUGUUGCUACAUUGUGUGGUUAGGUGACCCUUGUAACUCCACCUGUUAAAUCCAGGUCCCAAGACCGGACUAAGAGGAGGGAAGGUGUUUUAGUUUGCAAUUAAUUGUCUUCUUUUUUUUAACUAGAAGAAAUAUUUCUGGAGUGCCUAUGACCGUUUCUCCUUAUCUGUCUUGAGCAAUUCAAAAUGAACGGUUGCUCCUUUAGUCAGUGUAAUUCUCUUCCUCUUAUGGAAUUUCUAAUUACAAUUAUCACUUAUCAGUAAUGUACAUAGCUGUUAGAUGAAAUGUCAAGAUAUGCUUUAGGGGCUUCUCAACCUGAGUUGUCAGGUGUUCUCGCUUAUCAUGCAACUAGUUGUCGGACGCGUGCUUUGCAUGUGUGUCCUAAGCAAAUAGUACACUGAUAGAAAUAAAUUACAAAAAAUUCAAAGUGAAAUAAUACUGGCUUAAAUUCAUGAACAAUCCAAGCAUUCAAACAACUUUUUUGUUGAAUGACAAAUGAUUAUCUAGUCUGAAUCUAUAAAAUCAAAACAACAAAAAAUGGUUAGAUAUUUAAAGUGUAGAAUUAGUUACAUUUUGAUAUUAUUAGGUCCAAACAUAUAGAUUCAUUUGGGAAAUCUAAAAUCUUAUGUAGAAGGAAGGAUCCUUGGCAAUGAUUUUUGAGGUUCCUCAUCAUAGAAAUUGAGCUCAUUAUAAUUAUCUGACAAAGACAGAGAAGUACAAUAAAAGAAAAAUUGGAUAGUGCUUAAAAAAU